ACCUCGGAUCAGGUAGGAAUACCCGCUGAACUUAAGCAUAUCAAG
rnacentral:rRNA from 1 species